rnacentral:rRNA from 1 species
UGAGGAACAUGACUUUCGGCGGGGGAUAGCCGGCCCAACGGCCGGGUAAUACCGCGUACGACCACAUGGGGACAUCCCUGAGUGGUGAAAGCAGCAAUGCGCCGAUGGAGUGCCUCGCGGCCUAUCAGCUAGUUGGUGAGGUAACGGCUCACCAAGGCAACGACGGGUANCUGGUCUGAGAGGAUGGCCAGCCACAGUUGGGACUGAGACACGGCCCAGACCUGUACGGGGA